rnacentral:rRNA from 1 species
CCUACGGGAGGCUGCAGUGGGGAAUAUUGGACAAUGGGGGAAACCCUGAUCCAGCAAUGCCGCGUGAGUGAUGAAGGCCUUAGGGUUGUAAAGCUCUUUUGCCAGGGAUGCUGUACCUGGAGAAUAAGCCCCGGCUAACUUCGUGCCAGCAGCCGCGGUAAUACGAAGGGGGCGAGCGUUGUUCGGAAUUACUGGGCGUAAAGGGCGCGUAGGCGGCGACCCAAGUCAGAUGUGAAAGUCCUGGGCUUAACCUGGGGACUGCAUUUGAUACUGGGUUGCUUGAAUUCGGGAGAGGAUAGCGGAAUUCCCAGUGUAGAGGUGAAAUUCGUAGAUAUUGGGAAGAACACCGGUGGCGAAGGCGGCUAUCUGGACCGAAUUGACGCUGAGGCGCGAAAGCGUGGGGAGCAAACAGGAUUAGAUACCCUUGUAGUC